rnacentral:rRNA from 1 species
CCUACGGGUGGCAGCAGUGGGGAAUAUUGGUCAAUGGGCGAGACCCUGAACCAGCCAAGUCGCGUGAAGGAUGACGGUCCUACGUAUUGUAAACCUCUUUUGCCGGGGAGCAACGAGGUCCUUGCGAGGGCCCAAUGAGAGUACCCGGAGAAAAAGCAUCGGCUAACUCCGUGCCAGCAGCCGCGGUAAUACGGGGGAUGCGAGCGUUAUCCGGAUUUAUUGGGGUGAAAGGGUGCGUAUGCGGGCUGUUAAGUCAGCGGUCAAAUGUCGGGGCUCAACCCCGGCCUGCAGUUGAAACUGGAGGCCUGGAGUGGGGGAGAGGUAUGCGGAAUGCGUGGUGUAGCGGUGAAAUGCAUAGAUAUCACGAAGAACUCCGGUUGCGAAGGCAGCAUACCGGAGCCCUACUGACGCUGAGGCACGAAAGCGUGGGUAUCGAACAGGAUUAGAUACCCGAGUAGUC